CAGUAGCCACGGUAAAACGAACCGUGCGAACGUUAUUCGGAAUUACUGGGCUUAAAGCGCGUGUAGGCGGGCCGCCACGUCGGUUGCUGAAAUCCCCCGGCUCAACCGGGGAAGUGGCAUCGAUACGAGCGGCCUUGAGGGGGGUAGGGGGAUCUGGAACUUCCGGUGGAGCGGUGAAAUGCGUUGAGAUCGGAAGGAACGCCGAUGGCGAAGGCAGCCCCCUGGGCCAAUACUGACGCUCAUGCACGAAAGCGUGGGGAGCAAACAGGAUUAGAUACCCCGGUAGUCCCUGUCUCUUAUA
rnacentral:rRNA from 1 species